rnacentral:rRNA from 1 species
UGGGGAAUAUUGGACAAUGGGCGCAAGCCUGAUCCAGCCAUGCCGCGUGAGUGAUGAAGGCCCUAGGGUUGUAAAGCCUUCUUCACCGGUGAAGAUAAUGACGGUAACCGGAGAAGAAGCCCCGGCUAACUUCGUGCCAGCAGCCGCGGUAAUAACGAAAGGGGGCUAGCGUUGUUCGGAUUUACUGGGCGUAAAGCGCACGUAGGCGGACUUUUAAGUCAGGGGUGAAAAUCCCGGGGCGUCAACCCCAGGCAAGCUGCCUUUGAUACUGGAAGUCUUGAGUAUGGUAGAGGUGAGUGGAAUUCCGAGUGUAGAGGUGAAAAUUCGUAGAUAUUCGGAGGAACACCAGUGGCGAAGGCGGCUCACUGGACCAUUACUGACGCUGAGGUGCGAAAAGCGUGGGGAGCAAAACAGGAUUAGAUACCCUGGUAGUCCACGCCGUAAAAC